rnacentral:rRNA from 1 species
UACGGAGGGUGCAAGCGUUAUCCGGAUUCACUGGGUUUAAAGGGUGCGUAGGUGGGUUGGUAAGUCAGUGGUGAAAUCUCCGAGCUUAACUUGGAAACUGCCAUUGAUACUAUCAGUCUUGAAUAUUGUGGAGGUCAGCGGAAUAUGUCAUGUAGCGGUGAAAUGCUUAGAUAUGACAUAGAACACCAAUUGCGAAGGCAGCUGGCUACACAUAUAUUGACACUGAGGCACGAAAGCGUGGGGACCAAACAGG